rnacentral:rRNA from 1 species
AGCGAACGCUGGCGGCAGGCUUAACACAUGCAAGUCGAGCGGGCAUCCUUGUGGUGUCAGCGGCAGACGGGUGAGUAACGCGUGGGAACGUGCCCUUCGGUUCGGAAUAACUCAGGGAAACCUGAGCUAAUACCGGAUACGUGCGAGAGCAGAAAGGUUUAUCUGCCGAAGGAUCGGCCCGCGUCUGAUUAGCUAGUUGGUGAGGUUAUGGCUCACCAAGGCGACGAUCAGUAGCUGGUCUGAGAGGAUGAUCAGCCACACUGGGACUGAGACACGGCCCAGACUCCUACGGGAGGCAGCAGUGGGGAAUAUUGGACAAUGGGGGCAACCCUGAUCCAGCCAUGCCGCGUGAGUGAUGACGGCCUUAGGGUUGUAAAGCUCUUUUCUCCGGGACGAUAAUGACGGUACCGGAGGAAUAAGCCCCGGCUAACUUCGUG